ensembl:lncRNA
CUCUUAAUGGGGGUUUUGUGGCUGCCAGGCAGUACCAGGGUCUUACAGCACAGUUCCUUCUUCUGCUGACAGGCAGGAGGUUUACAUUUCUACUGCGGACACAUUCAGACUGAAGCUGUGACUGAAGAAGAUAAAGCAGCCCUAAGACUGAUGCAUCUAGGUCACUGCUCCUGCUAUCUGCCAGUGCUUUUCUAGCCCCAGAAGAGAACAACCUGCCCAGGAAAUCAAGCAGCAAUGCUUGGAAGGGACUCCUCUCCAGUGGAUGCAUACCAACAUGAUGGAAUUGUGAAAUGACAUGUAUAAUUACGAUAGGAAGAGAUGAACUUUCAUGACGCUUCCUUUACAGAUCAAUAAGCCUCUGGGUUAAUUGCAGAAUUUCUUGCUGUUAAGUCCAGAACACCUGCUGUAAAACAAGAGGAGUCAUAUCUAUGCCAGCACAAUGAUUUGGGGACACAGGAAAAGGUUCUGCAAGGUUCUUCAUCAUUUUCUAUUGCAAAAGGAUUUCCAGAGUAUCCUGAGGAAAACCUGCACAGGACCUUCAGGACUACAGAAAAUGUGACUCUUUGACUGUUCCCUGGUCAGAGAUGGCUUAGAGUGCCUUACCUCCUCCACCACCCAGCUCUGCCAGAAGAUUUGAAGCACCUUGCAAGCAUGACACCUUCCAGGAGGUACAAGGGACCACAUGACUGAAGAGAGCCGGGAGCUUUGGCGGUCGAUACACUGGGAUCUUGAUUUGUGAAGUUCCUUGAUGCCACAGACAACUAACUUCGCUCAUAUAUGUGUAUAUUACUCCAUCUUGAGAAGAUUGAUAGCAGGAGGACUGGAGCCAGAAGCAGCCACAGUCUCUGUGUGCAGUAGAAGGUGUAGAGCUGUGUGCCUGAACCUGCACCGUGCCACCUGCAACCAGCCCUGGAAUAGAAGGAAAGGUUAAUCUCUUUGAUUGGGAAGCUUUAGGAUUCUUUUCCUAGAGAGCUCCCAAUGGCAAUCAGUAGAAAAGUGAAAACAUCUAAAUCAUCUCUUCUGAAAGCCAGUGUGAAGGAAAGGUAUGCUCUGAAGUCUGCACAUCAGGUCACAGCAUAAAAGAGAGAACAAGAUAAGUCAUAUAAGCUCUCUUUCCUGGAGAUGUCAGCCAAAAUGCCGCAUGAUCACCAACAAGCGCAAAAAUGAACAAACUUCAGGGAUCAAGUCUAAGCAAGAGAUUAGAGAAGACAUCCCCCCAGAAUGCUCCCAAACUUCCUACUCUGGUUCCUCCUGAAGAGCAGAAUUCUGCUUGGACAAACUACCUACAGACUGAAAUCCAAGAAUGCAGCAGUCAGGAUGAGAUGAGUGCCUGGCCUAGCAUUACCUCUGGAUAUGAUAUUCAAAACAGAUGAUCUGUGCUUAGAUGCAAGUUUCUGAGUUGGUCUCAGCUCUAGAAGUUACUGGCUUGACCUAAAGCUAUGUGUUGAUGCCCGGGCUGUCUUUUCCCCAGAAGCAGGAGCAAAAGAGAAGAAACUUUUCUUCACUUUGCAAAACGAUGUCUCUUUUGCACCACUGACUUUUUUCACUCCAUAAAUGAUCUUCUUCAGGAAAUAGCUAUGCUUUUUUUCCACCUCUGCUUGCUUCCUGUCAUCCCAGACCAUGAAUUGUUUGG